rnacentral:rRNA from 1 species
AUUGAACGCUGGCGGCAGGCUUAACACAUGCAAGUCGAGCGGGGGAAGGUAGCUUGCUACUGGACCUAGCGGCGGACGGGUGAGUAAUGCUUAGGAAUCUGCCUAUUAGUGGGGGACAACAUCUCGAAAGGGAUGCUAAUACCGCAUACGUCCUACGGGAGAAAGCAGGGGAUCUUCGGACCUUGCGCUAAUAGAUGAGCCUAAGUCGGAUUAGCUAGUUGGUGGGGUAAAGGCCUACCAAGGGGACGAUCUGUAGCGGGUCAGAGAGGAUGAUCCGCCACACUGGGACUGAGACACGGCCCAGACUCCUACGGGAGGCAGCAGUGGGGAAUAUUGGACAAUGGGGGGAACCCUGAUCCAGCCAUGCCGCGUGUGUGAAGAAGGCCUUAUGGUUGUAAAGCACUUUAAGCGAGGAGGAGGCUACUUUAGUUAAUACCUAGGGAUAGUGGACGUUACUCGCAGAAUAAGCACCGGCUAACUCUGUGCCAGCCGCCGCCGUAA